AGCUCAGUGCGCGUGCGCCCCACAGGCGCGCCUUCGCGAGAGAGGUGUACUUCCGGCCGGAGAGGGAGGAGGGGUAAUUGACUCCCGCCUCCGAAGUCCCCCGUCCCCCCACUAAAUGUUGGGUGUUCGGGCCUUAAGUGAGGAAAAAGCCUCCUCUGCGGCGACUUCCCCGGGAAGGCCGCCCCGGUUCCGGUUUGGGUGGCGCGGUCCGCGCUAGUUUCUGCCGGCGUCUGCAGCGGAAGCACAAACCCGCCCCCCACCCCCAGUCUUAACGCGAUCCCGCACUGGUCGGUUUCAGUUUUGCGCUUGGUAAUGGCAGGGUUGAAGAGCUUUAAUUACACUUGUUUAUUGGAGUCAGAAUGCUUUCGUCCUUCUCGAUCCCCACAAGGGCUCCGAGGAGAGUCAGUCAUCUAGACUCUGCGGGGCCCGGGCCUCCCAGCGCCUUCAGGCCCGGAGAGGCGAGGCCCCGGCUCCAGGUGACACGGGGGCGGGCUUAGGUCUGGCUCCCGCGAAACCCGCAGUCUCUUUCCCUUCUGUUUCACCAAACUCUGGUGGGGAAAAAGAGAGAUGCAAAUUAGGGAGCCGAAGACCCGCUUUGAGAGCUGACGAGGAAUUCGUGUCCAAGAAAGUAAUAUCUCUCCCAUUAAUGUGUGGUGUUCAAGCGACACUAAAGGCGGAGGUAACCGGCUAAGGCCAGUCUGGCUGGUUUCCCUCCACCCUGGGUGUGGCCCCGUGUACCCCUAGGAGAUAACCCGAGGAGCGUGAGUAAGGCAGGGAGGGGCGUUGGGAUCUCGGGGAUACGUGGCCCGGUGUCUGAGUCACAGAGACGGGGAUGUAAAUACGCAAAUGGCUGUUUGUGGCGUAAUAACCAAUCUCAGUAAGGAGUGGUCUAAAGAUUUGCACAUUAACACAAAUUAGCUAGAUAUCACUUAGAAAAGUCAUCAAAUCACAACAUUUCUAAGCAUAAUAUUAAAAAACUGUGUCGAUGACCUUGCACUAUAGACAGGUAUAUUGAGGAGUUAAAUGACACCUUGACAGUCUUGAGUGAACUAAAACUUUACUCACAAUGAAUCUGAACUUGUUUCAGCAACUAGCAUCUUCUCCUGAGUCAUACGUGUUGGUGGGGAGAAUAAACUAGAAUGGAGAUCACCUGACUGAUAGGAUGACUUAGUUCAGAGUUCCAGCAAUUGCCAGAACCAAGUGAGUCAUACAGCUUCCUGGUUUAAUGUUUUCCCAAAGUGGGACCUUCGGUGACCGCCACAAAGCAAAACGUUUUCAGAAGGAUGACAGGUGCUGUCCUUGUAAAACAAGAGAUUAUCUCCAUUUGACUUUGGCAGUGAACUUUGAUAUCACUUGAAGCUGGUUGAACUCUUAAACUCCAGGAUUCUUCACUCAGAGCCCGACCUGUCACCCUUCUAGCUUUCUUUCUACCUUGUUUCUACUACAUCUGCUGGGUAAACUUUCUAAGACCUCCAGUUCCCCAGUUUUCUGUUGUCUCCCCUCAACUGUUGGUUCUUUUCUUUAAUGGAUUGUGCUUUUCCUGCUAAGAACUCUUCAUCCAGCCCAAAGAUUUUCUCCUGUGUUGUCUCUACACCUAAACCUAAAAUCCAUAUCAAAUUAGUUACUUUUGUAUAAGGUGUCAAGUUUAAAUUGAGGUGUUUUUUUUUGUUGUUGUUGUUGUUUUUUUUUUUUUUGCUUUUGGAUGUCCCGUCGCUCCAGCACGGUGGAAACACUAUGCUUCCUCCACUGAAUUGCUUUAGCAUCAGUUUCAGAAAUCAAUUGGUUAGGUAUGUAUGGAUCUGUUUUAGUUAUUGUGGUCUUUUUAAGGGUUGCAUUUGCUUUUUCUUCAAAAAUAUUCUAUUUAUUUAUUUUGAGAGAGAGGGAGUGUGAGCAGGGAUGGGGCAAAGAGAAAGAGAGAAUCCCAAACAGGCUUUGCACUGCCAGCACGGAGCCCAACGUGGAGGCCGAUCCCACAAAUCCAAGCUGAAAUUCAAGAGCCAGACAAAAUCAAUGACCCAAGACAAAAUCAAGAACCAGAUGCCCAACUGACUGAGCCACCCAGGCACCUCAAGGAUCCCAUUUUCUUUUUUCUUUUUUAAUUUUUUUAAU